UACGUAGGGUGCGAGCGUUAAUCGGAAUUACUGGGCGUAAAGCGUGCGCAGGCGGUCGGUUAAGUCUGAUGUGAAAGCCCCGAGCUCAACUUGGGAAUGGCAUUGGAAACUGGCUGGCUAGAGUGUGGCAGAGGGGGGUGGAAUUCCGCGUGUAGCAGUGAAAUGCGUAGAGAUGCGGAGGAACACCGAUGGCGAAGGCAGCCCCCUGGGCUGACACUGACGCUCAGGCACGAAAGCGUGGGGAGCAAACAGG
rnacentral:rRNA from 1 species